GCCAAUCAGGAAUAUAUUAUUGACACAUACUGAAAUUUAAACUAUUAAGAGAACAUUAGCAUGGCCCCUUGCACAAAGAUUACACGAGCAAUCGCGAGGUGUGCUGAUUUUUU
rnacentral:snRNA from 1 species